CAUCACUUGUGACUAGGAAUCUUUGACCUGGAAACCACACCAUCCAGAUUGUGGAUCUGGCAGCAUUCUAAUCCCUGUUUAAGAGGGUAUAUGAGUUAGUCCAGUCCAGAGGGCCUAAAAUGAAUCCAUGAAACCUCUUAGGGCGCAGGGUAGGGUAGCUAUCAGUGAAGGGCAACAUCUCAGCUGCCAGUAGGUAUGUGUGUGUGUGUGUGUGUGUGUGUGUGUGUGUGUGUCGAGGUAGAGCUGUGUGUGUAUGUAUGUAUGUGUGAUCUAUGGAGGUAGAGCUGUGUGUGUGUGUGUGUUUGAGAGAGAGAGAUCUAUGCAGGUAGAGCUGUGUGUGUGUGUGAGAUCUAUAGAGGUAGAGCUGUGUGUGUGUGAUCUAUGGAGGUAGAGCUGUGUGUGUGUGUGUGUGUGUGUGUGUGAUCUAUGGAGGUAGAGCUGUGUGUGUGUGUGUGAUCUAUAGAGGUAAAGCUGUGUGUGUGAGAGAGAUCUAUGGAGGUAGAGCUGUGUGUGUGAGAGAGAUCUAUGGAGGUAGAGCUGUGUGUGUGUGAGAUCUAUAGAGGUAGAGCUGUGUGUGUGUGUGUGUUGUAUAGAGGUAGAGCUGUGUGUGUGUGUGUUUGCACUGAACCACCGGUGAUAUACAAACUAAAGUGUGUGGGAUUAGAAUCACUGACUGGACCUUUAAUGAUAUCAAUAGCGAAGUUAGAUCAGUGCAUUUAAUAAUAUUAAUAAGGAAGUUACAUCAGUGCCUUUAAUAAUAUCAAUAACGGAGUUGAUCUGUG
ensembl:lncRNA